CACUUAAAUUCCAAUGAGGCCAAUAAGGACUGAAGAUGAACAGGCCGGGCUACGACUACUCCGCGCCUGUCUCCACCACAUACUAUGCGACGAAUAGUCGACCGCCGCAGUACGACCGUGGCUACAACCAGCUUGCACCAGUCCCCGUCUACAGCCCAUCAUCACACCCUCUUUCGAAUUAUGCAGAUGUCUAUGAAGGCAAUAACGAUACCACGCUCAGGGCUGAGGAAAGACACUGGUACAUAGAAAACCACAAAAAUAUUCAACCAAACUACUCUCCUAAUAAUGAAAUCUUACCACAGGAGAUUAAGGUUAAAAAGGAAGAGGAAAAGAAAAGCGAUUCGCAAAUUAUAAGAUCUGAAGCGACUCAAGCACGCAGAAGAAAAGAAAAUCGAUGUUCGUGCGAGUGCUGGCCUAGUUCUGACAAUAAUGAGGUACAAAACGGUGGGAACGCGGCUACUACGCGAUCUUUAUCGGGCGUCGAUAUGGUGGCAUCGUACGGUGUCUAUGGCACUUCUCAGGACGAUGAUAGUUCAGGUUUCGGCCGGUUGUCUGAAAAGAACGCAGUUUACGGCCAGACGAGCAACGCUCCGGUGCAGGGUGUGAUAGUUAAUCAACAAGGAAACAGUGCCGUUGUGAGAUCAGCUAGUUCGACGAACUCGGCGUGUGGGAAGUGUUGUGUGUGGUCUUCGAACGUUCAAGUUGCGAACUCGGAGGACUACUGCUGGAUACAUUACUGUAGACCAGCGCUUAUUGUGUUGCUGCUGUUAUUUUUUCUAGUUCUGUUGGGAGUUUCUACAGGGUUUCUAUUAACAAAUAAUUAUCUACAUUAUCAGCCACGGCCGCCGGCUCCUGAAGAGGCAUGCGAGAAAACGUUUUGUCGAUGGGGCGCGGAAUGUGUGUCGCUCGGCGAUGGGAGAGCACAUUGCGCGUGCCCUACUAGCUGUCCCUCCACCGCGGCUCCCGUGUGCUCGACAGCUGGCCGAACUUACCGCAACCAUUGCUUCCUGCGUAAGGAAGCGUGUGAAAGAAGGUUAAACCUACGAGUCAAGCAUGAGGGUGAAUGUGAAGCUGGUGAACCCUGCAGUUCAGUAACAUGUCAGCACGGAGCCCGUUGCGUGGUUACGUACGGUCAAGCGGAGUGCCGCUGCCCUCGCAAUUGCCAGCGGCGGAAAAUAGUAUGCGGCACGGAUGGCAAGGAAUAUCCCUCGACGUGUCAUCUCGAUAAGCAUGCUUGCGAGAACCAGCUCAAUAUUACCGUGAAAUAUCACGGGAAAUGCGAUCCCUGUAUAGAACACGAAUGCGCAGAUGGCAGUGUUUGUCAGCUGAACGAAGUACGAGCUGCAGUGUGCCGGUGUGGACCUCCUUGUGAUCUGAUCGUUCGCCCUGAUUCUGCUGUCUGUGGAUCAGACUACAAGGAUUAUAUCAGUGAAUGUGCGUUGCGGCUGGAAGCGUGUCGGUCGAGACAACAACUGUCUAUAGCUUAUAGAGGAGAAUGUGCUUCAGCACAACAUCCUUGCGAAUCGGUGAAAUGUGGUGUUCGCGAGUUAUGCACGUUGGACGUACAUGGAGUAGCCGUGUGUGGGUGCGGGCCGGACUGCGAGGAGGUGAUGAGGCCGGUCUGCGGGACCGACGGCCGAACCUAUGAUAACCCCUGCCUGCUUGACCGCACAGCUUGCUUGGAAAACCGUGACAUACGUGUUGCGUAUAUGGGCGCUUGUGGUGUGGAGAAUCCCUGCGCACUGGCCACUUGUCCCUGGGGCGGCGCCUGUAUCGCCCGCGGCGGGUCCGCCCAGUGCUCCUGCCCGGUGUGCAACUCGAGCCUCGCGCCCGUAUGUGCGUCAGACCACAACACGUACGGCAGCGAGUGCAAGAUGCGCAUGCAUGCAUGUCAAGCCGGCAUGGGCGAACACGACCUGAAAGUCCUGUAUAACGGAACAUGUUUAACAUGUGCGGACAUCGUGUGCCAAGGAGGGGGUAGCUGCGAGGUGGAGGGCGAUUCCGGUCGGCCUGUAUGCCGAUGUAACCACAACUGUACUGAAGCUCAGGAAUCGGAUGUUGUAUGCGGAACAGACGGACAAACGUAUCCGUCGCAGUGUGAUCUGGACUCGACGGCGUGUCACGAUCAGAGCAACCUGCGGCUGGCUUAUAACGGAGGUUGCGCGCUUUGUGAGGCGGUUCAGUGCUCUUUUGGGGCGCAUUGCAUAGCAGGGGAGUGUGUUUGUCCAACUGAUUGCACGGGGGCCCCGCACGAACCCGUUUGCGGGAGCACCAUGCAGACUUAUUCCAAUGAAUGUGAGCUGCAAAAAGCUGCCUGUGGAGUACCACCGCCUACAAAACUCCAUGUCAUCUUUUAUGGAGAUUGCAAAGAUCGACUCGCCGUUGUGCCACCAAUAGCUAUGACAACUACCGCGAUGACUACGACUGAAGCUGAACAGGAUUCUACGGAUUCUCUGGGAGCGACGGAGAUAGGUGGCACGACUAGUUCGUCAGCUUGCCGAGAUAUCCGUUGUGAUUUCGAUGCCAGCUGCGAGAUUGGUCUCGAUGGCUAUCCGCGUUGUUCCUGCCUUUUCGAAUGUCCGACUGAGGAUGAAUAUUUUCCGGUCUGUGCCUCCGAUUUUCGACUUUACCCAAGUUUGUGUGCAAUGCGGAAAGAGGGAUGCCAGAAACAAUUAGAACUAAGAUUGCGACCGUUGGAUUUAUGCAAAGGCAUGGAAGUUCGACCAUGCGGGAACAACAAGGCGAUGGUUGACUUGUCUACGGGUCUGGAAAUAGACUGCGGGAAUGGACCUCACCGCCAAGACUGUCCCGCGGGAAGCUACUGUCACAUCACGCUUACUGCUGCAAGGUGCUGUCCGAAAAAUGAUGUGAAGCAAGGGGAAGAUAAGAAGAACUUGCAUUGUUCGGAGAGUACCUUCGGUUGUUGUUCUGAUGGGACGACGGCGGCGUUGGGUUCGAAUGAAGAAGGGUGUCCGGUUAGCUCGAGCUGCGGUUGCAAUAGGCUGGGGUCGGUGACAGAUCGCUGCGAUGAUAGCGGUCAGUGUGUGUGCCGGCCGGGUGUGGGCGGCCUCAAGUGCGAUAGAUGUGAGCCGGGAUACUGGGGGCUGCCGCGGAUAGGCUCUGGGCACACUGGGUGUAUUCCCUGCGGCUGUUCAGCGUUUGGCUCCGUAAGAGAAGACUGUGAGCAAAUGACAGGGCGUUGCGUUUGCCGACCCGGGGUGCAGGGUCAGAAGUGCACCGUGUGCGCCGACCACAGACGACGACUUGGACCUAAUGGCUGCUCUGACCCUGAAAUCCUUAGCGUAGCAGUAUCUUGUAGCGAGUUGUCUUGUUACUUCGGAGCUGUGUGCACCGAGAGGACGGGAGGGGCGCUCUGCGAGUGUGCCGCCGCGCCCUGCCCUGAUAGCGAUCUGAAUAUGUUGGUAUGUGGAAGUGAUGGCAAAACGUACGAAUCGGAGUGUCAUCUCAAGCUGCAAGCAUGUAGAACGCAAGAGGAUAUAGUUGUCCAGGCGUUCGGUCCCUGUAAAUUAUCCGAAAUACCGGGUACUGCGGGGCCUCCGAGACCAUCUUCUCCCAUACAAUUCACACAGCAAGACGAUGGCGCCGCAUCGAAAUCUACGAGGCAUCUCUUAAACCCCUAUAAUAAAUACGAUUGGACAAGAAAAGAAACUCCGAGUGAUUUCGACAGUAUCCUUUCCGGCCAGAGGACUAAAGGUUCGCAAACAGCAACAACUGCCACAGUAGGGGCGGUGGGUGCAUUACUCGGUGAUCUUUGUACACAAGACUCGGAUUGUACCGCAUUGCCGGGCGCACAUUGCGCGCGGGGUGGGUGUGUGUGCCGCCCUGGUUACAUACCCACUACGCAUCGUAAGGCUUGUAUUGAACAAUUGACCCAAGAAACAACAGAGGAGUAUAGCGCGUGCUUAUCUGAGCCUUGUUACAAUCAAGGCACAUGUAUUGACCUGCCUGGUUCAACGUACGCCUGUGUGUGCGCUGACCAUCACACUGGUAUCAAUUGCGAAACAAUAGUCAAAGAUGAAUCCCAUAUCCCUUACAUCGAGACCCCGUCUUUCGACGGAUCAUCAUAUAUACGCCUAAAACCAUUGAAAGCUUACCAUAAGUUGAACAUUGACAUCGAGUUUAAGGCGUUUUCUGAGAACGGAGUUAUAUUGUACAAUCAGCAGAAACCCGACGGUACGGGGGAUUUUGUUUCGCUCGCUCUAGUGAACGGAUACUUAGAGUUCAGAUAUAACCUCGGAAAUGGAGCGAUCGUACUUACAUCACUUGAAAAGAUAUCUCUGAAUGAAUAUCAUAAAGUGUCGGCAAAGAGGUAUCACAGAGAUGGCAUUUUAUCUGUUGACAACUCUGAAGAUGUAGUUGGACAAUCAAGAGGAAAUUUGAAAGCUUUAGAUCUGGCUGAUGACGCGUUUAUUGGCAGUGUACCUACAAAUUAUUCACGGGUAUUUGAUAACAUCGGAACACGAAGCGGUUUUAUCGGAUGUGUUAAAUACUUGAGAAUAAUACGUCAUCAAGUUACAAAGAAAUUGGGUCGUCCGGACUCAUUAAUAGUUUCUAUAGAAAACGUCCGAGAGUGUCAAUCUAAUCCAUGUAUGAGUAUGCCUUGCAAAAACGGCGCCACGUGCCGGCCUGUCGAGGAAUCGGCGACGGACUACGCGUGUAGUUGCUCUAUCGGAUUUCAAGGAUCCAAUUGCGACGAUAGAUUAGAUCCGUGCGAGUCGAAUCCUUGCGGGUAUGAUGAGGGGCUAUUGUGUGACAUUGGCCCAGAUGGAGGACACGUCUGCCGAUGUUUAUUCGGAGGCGAAAUUGGAUCGAACGGCAAUACCUGCAACAAUGAUGUAAAUGUUGUCCAAGAAACUUGGUCUCCUCAAUUCAAUGGCACGAGCUACAUCGAGUUAAUGCCGCUAGAAGGACUGGGAAAAGCGUUCCGCAUUGAAAUUUGGUUUUUAACGAACCGAUUUUCGGGAAUGUUACUCUACACCGGCCAAUCCAAUAAAGCGAAGGGGGAUUUUAUAGCUAUUAACUUAGUUAAUGGAUACCUCCAGUUUAGGUACAAUUUAGGGAGUGGGAUCGCUAAUAUCACGUCGCCCACUCCGAUAACCAAAGGUCGUUGGCACCGCGUGCGUGUGUCGCGCGCGGGCCGACACGGCAGCCUGCAGCUAGACCACCACCCCGUGCAGAGGGGACAUUCCGCGCCACCCCUCACACAUUUGGAGCUGACGCUGCCACUCUUUAUUGGAUCUUUGCCAUCCUACAUACGUCCUCACAAAAUAUCGGGGGUGACCAGCAGUUUCAUAGGGGCAAUUCAACAGGUUUUCGUGAAUGGAAAUCCGUUGUCAUUAUAUAGCUUGGACAUAGCCAAGUGCAGUGUAGUCCCUGAGGAGGAGAGACUCCCUUGCGCUACGAGUGGAGUUACCAAGUAUACAGGGCCGCCUUGUGGGGAUGGUCUCACGCCAUGCAAGAAUAAUGGCACAUGCAUACCUUUAUUAAACGAAUAUAAAUGUAUGUGCCGCGAUGGCUACGAGGGGAGAAACUGCGAGGUGCAAUUACAAGUAGAGAUGUUGAACGAUGAAGCGCCUAUUAGGUUCGACGGAAAUAAUUACUACUCGUACAGAAGCCGUGGAGGACGCAGCUUACCCACUAACGUGCUGUUUGGUGAAGGAAAUUACGAUGUAAGAUAGCAUACGAAGGACGAAUUUGUCAAUAAUCUAGAUAUAACUAUAAAUACUAAAUAAUUCUCCACAAUAAUAGAUUAGGAAUCACGGCCCUCGCGGUAUAAGAUAUGAGAUUAAAUUUCGUACUCUCAACGACUCUGGUCUUCUCUUGUGGCGUCGUAAAAUUGGCAUUCGACCGCGAGAUUUUAUUGGCCUCGGCCUUAGUUAUGGAAAGCU
rnacentral:misc_RNA from 1 species